GGUCAAGCUACAAAGGGCGCAAGGGGGAUGCCUUGGCACUGGGAGCCGAUGAAGGACGCGACAAGCUGCGAUAAGCCACGGGGAGGAGCAAAUAUCCGUCGAUCCGUGGAUUUCCGAAUGGGGAAACCCGCGAGAGCAAUACUCUCGCACCAUGCACUGAAUCCAUAGGUGUAUGGAGGGAACCGCCUGAACUGAAACAUCUAAGUAGGGCGAGGAAAAGAAAUCAACCGAGAUUCCGCUAGUAGUGGCGAGCGAACGCGGAGGAGGCUAAACCGGGGGACUUUUAGUUCUCCGGGGUUUUGGACAGCAUUUAGCAUUCACAAACUUUAGCAGAACGGCAUGGGAAGGCCGGCCAUAGAGGGUGACAGACCCGUACGCGAAAAGGUGAGUGAGCGAGCUGUAUCCAGAGUACCACGGGACACGUGAAACCCUGUGGGAAGACGGGUGGACCACCAUCCAAGCCUAAAUACUACCCAGUGACCGAUAGUGAAGCAGUACCGUGAGGGAAAGGUGAAAAGGACCCCGGGAGGGGAGUCAAAUAGAACCUGAAACCUUGCGCCUACAAGCACCGAGAGCCCGUUAAUGGGUGAUCGGGUACCUUUUGUAGAAUGGUCCGGCGAGUUACUGUAUGCAGCGAGGUUAAGUGACUGGAGUCACGGAGCCGCAGGGAAACCGAGUGUUAAUAGCGCGUAUGAAGUUGCAUGCAGUAGACCCGAAACCGGGUGACCUAUCCAUGGCCAGGUUGAAGUGACGGUAAAACGUCAUGGAGGACCGAACCGACCCCCGUUGCAAUGGUGGCGGAUGAGCUGUGGAUAGCGGAGAAAUUCCAAUCGAACCCGGAGAUAGCUGGUUCUCCCCGAAAUAGCUUUAGGGCUAGCGUUGUGAUAGAUUAGCGGAGGUAGAGCACUGAAUGGGCUAGGGGCCGAUAAGGUUACUGAACCCUAUCAAACUCCGAAUGCCGCAUAAUCGUUUCACAGCAGUCAGACAGUGUGAGAUAAGUCUCAUUGUCGAAAGGGAAACAGCCCAGACCUACGUCUAAGGUCCCAAAUAUAUGCUAAGUGGAAAAGGAUGUGGAGUUGCGCAGACAACCAGGAUGUUGGCUUAGAAGCAGCCAUUCAUUCAAAGAGUGCGUAAUAGCUCACUGGUCGAGUGGCUCCGCGCCGAAGAUGUAACGGGGCUAAGCAUAUAACCGAAGACUAGGCUGUAAGCAUGAAUUUGAGUUUGCAAACACGGAGAUUCCCAAGGAAACGGAGAUGUUUUUAAGGGCAAGCGACGGCGCCCUUCACAGAACAUUUCAACGAAAGAAAAAGGGAAGAUGCUGCGGAAGGGCGCAGUUUGCAAAUUGAAAUUCAUGCUUACGGGGUAGGGGAGCGUCGUGUACGGGGCGAAGUCUGAGCGAGAGCACAGGUGGACUGUACACGAGUGAGAAUGCCGGAAUGAGUAGCGAGAAUUAUGUGAGAAUCAUAAUGGCCGAAAAUCCAAGGUUUCCUGGGGAAGGUUCGUCCGCCCAGGGUAAGCCGGGAGCUAAGGCGAGGCCGAAAGGCGUAGUCGAUGCACAUACGGUUGAAAUUCCGUAGCCGCCGACAAUUUAAACCGCGGGGACACUUGAAGAUAUCCGAACCCAGGCGUUGGUCGACCUGGGCGUAAGGGACCGAAAUUUAAGUAGGGAAGUCGGAGACUCUUUGAGGCGAGAAAAGCCGCGGCGUAUACUAAGGCGCCCGUACCGCAAACCGACACAGGUGGAUGAGGAGAGAAUCCUAAGGCCAACGGGAGAAGGGUUGUUAAGGAACUCGGCAAAUUGACCCCGUAACUUCGGGAAAAGGGGUGCCCCCUACGGGGGGCCGCAGAGAAUAGGCCCAAGCGACUGUUUACCAAAAACACAGGUCUCUGCUAAGUCGAAAGACGACGUAUAGGGGCUGACGCCUGCCCAGUGCCGGAAGGUUAAGAGGAGAGCUUAGCAGCAAUGCGAAGGUUUGAAUUGAAGCCCCGGUGAACGGCGGCCGUAACUAUAACGGUCCUAAGGUAGCGAAAUUCCUUGUCAGGUAAGUUCUGACCCGCACGAAUGGCGUAACGAUUUGGGCACUGUCUCAACAGCCCGCCCGGCGAAAUUGUUGUACCGGUGAAGAAGCCGGUUACCCGCGACUAGACGGAAAGACCCCAUGGAGCUUUACUGCAGCUUGAUAUUGGAUCUCGGUAUUUCAUGUACAGGAUAGGUGGGAGGCGUCGAAGCAAGGCCGUCAGGUUUUGUGGAGCCACCCUUGGGAUACCACCCUUGGAGUGCUGGGGUUCUAACCUGCGCCCGUGAAUCCGGGCGGGGGACACUGUCAGGUGGGCAGUUUGACUGGGGCGGUCGCCUCCAAAAGAGUAACGGAGGCGCUCAAUGGUUGGCUCAGCACGGACGGAAAUCGUGCAUAGAGUGCAAACGCAUAAGCCAGCCUAACUGCGAGACCGACGGGUCGAGCAGUAACGAAAGUUGGAGUUAGUGAUCCGGCGGUAUGUGAGUGGAAAUGCCGUCGCUCAACGGAUAAAAGCUACCCUGGGGAUAACAGGCUGAUCUCCCCCAAGCGUCCACAGCGACGGGGAGGUUUGGCACCUCGAUGUCGGCUCGUCACAUCCUGGGGCUGUAUUCGGUCCCAAGGGUUCGGCUGUUCGCCGAUUAAAGUGGCACGCGAGCUGGGUUCAGAACGUCGUGAGACAGUUCGGUCCCUAUCUGUCGUGGGCGUAAGAGAUUUGAGAGGAGCUGUCCCUAGUACGAGAGGACCGGGAUGGACGUACCUCUGGUGCACCAGUUGUCGUGCCAACGGCACAGCUGGGUAGCUAUGUACGGACGAGAUAAACGCUGAAAGCAUCUAAGCGUGAAACUUCCCUCAAGAUGAGAUCUCUCACAUCGUAAGGUGGUAAGGCCCCAUGUAGACUACAUGGUUGAUAGGCCGGAGGUGUACGCAUGGCAACAUGUUUAGCUGACCGGUACUAAUAGGCCGAGGGCUUGACCUU
rnacentral:rRNA from 1 species